CCGUGGUGUAGCGGCAACACGCAAUCUUCUAAUAACAUAAUCGGAUAUGGAUUUGAGAUUGAGUCCGGGGUUCGACCCCCCGAGG